UGGAUUUUGAGCUGCGGGAGCAAAAUCAGGAGAUGGAGAAGGGUUAAGAACUGAAUCUACAUCUGCACGGCUUUUUGCUGGACCAUCUGACUCAGCCAUACAUGAAAAGAUGUGAAGAAGAACAAACCAGUGGGAAUUUGAGCA